UAGUGAGUAGUUUAAGUAAAAAACGAUAGAUUGUGGUUCUAUAGAUAGGGUUGUUAUUCUCAUUAG
rnacentral:tRNA from 1 species